GAUGAACGCUGGCGGCGUGCCUAAUACAUGCAAGUCGAGCGAACAGACGAGGAGCUUGCUCCUCUAACGUUGGCGGCGGACGGGUGAGUAACACGUGGAUAACCUACCUCUAAGACUGGGAUAACUUCGGGAGACCGGAGCUAAUACCGGAUAAUAUAUUGAACCGCAUGGUUCAAUAGUGAAUCACGGUUUGGCUGUCACUUAUAGAUGGUUCCGGGCUGCAUUAGCUAGUUGGUAAGGUAACGCCUUACCAAGGCAACGAUGCGUAGCCGACCUGAGAGGGUGAUCGGCCACACUGGAACUGAGACACGGUCCAGACUCCUACGGGAGGCAGCAGUAGGGAAUCUUCCGCAAUGGGCGAAAGCCUGACGCAGCCACGCCGCGUGAGUGAUGAAGGUCUUCGGAUCGUAAAACUCUGUUAUUAGGGAAGAACAAAUGUGUAAGUAACUAUGCACGUCUUGACGGUACCUAAUCAGAAAGCCACGGCUAACUACGUG
rnacentral:rRNA from 1 species